CUGAGUCCUCAGAUGGAAUGAAAUGUCCAUGAAGCAAUUGUACAAAGUACCAUUUGAACGGAACAGUGAUCGAGUGAAGGAGCUCCGUCACCAGUAUGUACAGCGUAUCCUGGAAUUGGAGGCCAGGGAACCCCUGCACACGUUUGUAUAUCUUGACGAAGCAGGAAUCAAUCUCACAAAAGCCAGACGGCGUGGACGAAAUCACAUUGGAGAAAGAGCCACCAUUGAUGUCCCAGGCCAACGAGGAGGAAAUAUUGCAAUGUGUGCAGCAAUCUCAGAAAAUGGCGUUCACACCCAUAUUCCUUGUAUUGGUGCAUACAGUACACAACACCUGUUGGCUUUUCUGGACGCUCUUUAUAGGGACCUAAUCCCACAAAAUGAAAGGGAUGAUCCUGGUGACAAUCGGACAAUGUAUGUAGUGGUUUGGGAUAAUGUUAGCUUCCAUCACUCUGCUGUAGUCAGGCAGUGGUUUGCAGCACACAACAGGAUGCUUAUGGAGUUUCUUCCUCCUUACACUCCAUUCCUAAAUCCAAUUGAGGAGUUUUUCUCUUCCUGGAGGUGGAAGGUAUAUGACAGGCAUCCACAUACCCAAAUGACCCUGCUAGCAGCUAUGGAUGCAGCUUGUGAUGACAUCACAGCAGAGUCCUGCAGAGGGUGGAUUCGACACUCCAGAAGAUAUUUUCCCUGAUGCAUCGAUAGAGCUGACAUUUGCUGAUGUUGAUGCAAAUAUUUGGGCAGACAGACGGGAGCGUCUAGAUAUCAAUGAUUGAUAUGCAGCAGUGUCUGUUUUUCAGUUUUUGUUUUUUUGUUUUUUGUUUCAUAACUACUGCAGUAAGGUUUACUGUCUAAGUGAGUUCGUUUGCUGUAAAAUGUUUAAUUUACUGUAUUUCCCCAGUUGCACAAUGCUGUGAACAGUUUCAAUUAAAUAUUAUCAAGAGUGCAUAUGAAGUGUCUUGAUUUUCCUUUACAAUUUUUGGUUUGACAUGUCAUUGGGAAGCACCUACAAAGAAAUCCGUCACAAUGAGAACAUGUUCAAACCAUUUGAUUUUGUGACCAAAAAGUGCUGCUGUAAUGACUUGUAAUUGUGACAGCCCUGACACUUUGAUUGAUAUAAGUACUUGCUUUUGAUGAAUAUAUUAUCUGUUUUGAUUAAGGGACUUGCUUUUGAAGCAUUGACUACUUAUUUUGAGCAACUGACUUUUCUUUUUGAUGAAGUGACUCACUUUUGCAAGUUAUCCACCAUGUUUUGCAGUUUGAACUAAUUGUUUUGAGAAGAGCCUUAGUAGUGGUGCAGAGAUCAAUUCUGUUGUGAGAAAUGCACCAAAGCAACUGAGAAAAACUGUAAGACUGAGGUGAGCAAACUCUGGGUUUUCCACUGAAGAGAGCGCUAACUGAAGACUUGAGUAUCGUACAGAAGUAACUGACUCUGGGUUCAGCAUACCCAGGAUAUUUCUA
ensembl:lncRNA